AGCAGCCGCGGUAAUUCCAGCUCCAAUAGCGUAUAUUAAAGUUGUUGCAGUUAAAAAGCUCGUAGUUGAAUUUCGGGGUUCUACCGUUGGUCGGGCAAUUGUCUGUACUGGUGUGUGGAAUUUCUACCUUCUGGGGAACCAUCAUGUUAUUUAUUUAGCGUGGUGGGAAACCAGGACCUUUACCUUGAAAAAAUUAGAGUGUUCAAAGCAGGCUUACGUCUGAAUACAUUAGCAUGGAAUAAUAAAAUAGGACGGUGGUCCUGUUUUGUUGGUUUCUGAAUCACCGUAAUGAUUAAUAGGGAUAGUUGGGGGCAUUAGUAUUCAAUUGUCAGAGGUGAAAUUCUUGGAUUUAUUGAAGACUAACUUCUGCGAAAGCAUUUGCCAAGGAUGUUUUCAUUAAUCAAGAACGAAAGUUAGGGGAUCGAAGACGAUCAGAUACCGUCGUAGUCUUAACCAUAAACUAUGCCGACUAGGGAUCGGACGAUGUUAAUUUUUCUUGACUCGUUCGGCGCCUUUACGG
rnacentral:rRNA from 1 species